GAUCAAGAUACUAAGGGCGCACGGUGAAUGCCUUGGCAUCAGAAGCCGAUGAAGGACGUGGCAAGCUGCGAUAAGCUCCGGGAAGGUGCAAACUACCGUCGAUCCGGAGAUGUCCGAAUGGGGAAACCCAGCUGGGGUCAUGCCCAGUUACCCAUGCCUGAACACAUAGGGCAUGAGGAGGCAACCUGGGGAACUGAAACAUCUAAGUACCCAGAGGAAGAGAAAUCAACCGAGAUUUCCCUAGUAGUGGCGAGCGAACGGGAAACAGCCUAAACCCGCGUAUGCGUAUAGCCUGUGGGCGUUGCUGCGUGUGGGGUUGUGGGAGUCAUCGACCUAGGGCCACUGACCUAGGACGGAGUUACAAAGCGGCAGGGUAGCGGAACGGUUUUGGAAAAGCCGGCCACAGAAGGUAAAAGCCCUGUAUGCGAAAGUCUGCCGCCUCCGAGAUGAUCACCCGAGUACUGCCGGACACGUGAAAUCCGGUAGGAAUCUGGGGGGACCACCCUCCAAGGCUAAAUACUCUCUGAUGACCGAUAGUGAACCAGUACCGUGAGGGAAAGGUGAAAAGCACCCCGAGAGGGGAGUGAAAUAGUACCUGAAACCGUGUGCUUACAAGCAGUCACAGCCCGGAAAGCCGGCUUGCCGGCAGGGUGGUGGCGUGCCUUUUGUAGAAUGAGCCAGCGAGUUACCGUAUGCAGCAAGGUUAAGCUGAAAGCGAGCCGCAGCGAAAGCGAGUCUUUAAACGGGCGUUCAGUUGCAUGUGGUAGACGCGAAGCCAGGUGAUCUAUCCAUGGGCAGGCUGAAGCGGGGGUAAGACCCCGUGGAGGGCCGAACCCACUUCGGUUGAAAACGGAGGGGAUGACCUGUGGAUCGGAGUGAAAGGCUAAUCAAACCUGGAGAUAUCUCGUUCUCCCCGAAAUAGCUUUAGGGCUAGCCUCGGGUGUUCAGUUCCGGUGGUAGAGCACUGGAUGGUCUAGGGGGCUUCACCGCUUACCGAAAUCAGCCAAACUCCGAAUGCCGGUACUCCAGAACCCGGGAGUCAGACUAUGUGGGCUAAGCUGUGUAGUCGAGAGGGAAACAGCCCAGACCGCCCGCUAAGGUCCCUAAAUUCAUGCUAAGUGGCAAAGGAUGUGCGUUUGCACAGACAACCAGGAUGUUGGCUUAGAAGCAGCCAUUCAUUUAAAGAGUGCGUAAUAGCUCACUGGUCAAGUGGACACGCGCCGACAAUACACGGGGCUCAAGCAUGAUACCGAAGCGGCGGACUUCACGUUUACGUGGAGUGGUAGGGGAGCAUUCUGUACUGGGUCGAAGCGGGUGGGUGACCGUCCGUGGACUGUACAGAAGAGAGAAUGCUGGCAUGAGUAGCGAGAGAAGUGUGAGAAACACUUCCGCCGUAUGCCUAAGGGUUCCUGGGCAAGGCUAAUCCUCCCAGGGUCAGUCGGGAGCUAAGGCGAGGCCGCAAGGCGUAGUCGAUGCACAACAGGUAGACAUUCCUGUACCACUGACAGUGCGUUAUUACCGAUGGGGUGACGGAGAAGGGUAGCUGAGCGCGGUUCUGGACGUCCGCGUGAAAGGCUGUAGGGUUCAGGGUAGGCAAAUCCGCCCUGUAUAUGCCUGAGAGCUGAUGACGAAGCGAUAGAGUGAAGUCAGUGAUCCCAUGCUUUCAAGAAAAACCUCUAGGGAGUGCUGUGGGUGCCCGUACCCCAAACCGACACAGGUAGGCAGGUAGAGAAUACCAAGGCGAUCGAGAGAACUACGGUUAAGGAACUCGGCAAAAUGGCUCCGUAACUUCGGGAGAAGGAGCGCCCCGGUCCGUGAUCAUCUUCGCGGUGUGAGCGGACGGGGGCCGCAGUGAAACGGCCCAAGCGACUGUUUACUAAAAACACAGGACUCUGCAAAGUCGUAAGACGACGUAUAGGGUCUGACGCCUGCCCGGUGCUGGAAGGUUACGAGGAGGGGUAAGCCGCAAGGCGAAGCUCUGAAUCUAAGCCCCAGUAAACGGCGGCCGUAACUAUAACGGUCCUAAGGUAGCGAAAUUCCUUGUCGGGUAAGUUCCGACCUGCACGAAUGGCGUAACGAUUUGGG
rfam:Actinobacteria bacterium 66_15 MPI_scaffold_6124, whole genome shotgun sequence.